AGCAGCCGCGGUAAUUCCAGCUCCAAUAGCGUAUAUUAAAGUUGUUGCAGUUAAAAAGCUCGUAGUUGAAUUUCGGGAUCAAAUUGUUGGUCGUGCUUCGGUACGCACUGGCAUUAUUGGUUCCUACCUUCUGAAGAACCGCGAUGUCAUUAAUUUGGUGUCGUGGGGAAUCAGGACUGUUACUUUGAAAAAUUAGAGUGUUUAAAGCAGGCUUACGCUUGAAUACAUUAGCAUGGAAUAAUGAAAUAGGACGUUUGAUUCUAUUUUGUUGGUUUCUAGGAUCGACGUAAUGAUUAAUAGGGAUAGUUGGGGGCAUUAGUAUUCAAUUGUCAGAGGUGAAAUUCUUGGAUUUAUUGAAGACUAACUACUGCGAAAGCAUUUGCCAAGGAUGUUUUCAUUAAUCAAGAACGAAAGUUAGGGGAUCGAAGACGAUCAGAUACCGUCGUAGUCUUAACCAUAAACUAUGCCGACUAGGGAUCGGAUGAUGUUAAUUUUAUAAUGACUCAUU
rnacentral:rRNA from 1 species